rnacentral:lncRNA from 1 species
CUGUAAUCCCAGAACUUGGGAGGCUGAGGCAGGAGCAUGGCUGCGACUUCAAGACCAGCCUGGGGCUUCGUAGUGAGUUUAAGGCCAGCCUGGACUACUUAGACUCAGUCUCAAAACAAAACCAAACAACAAAACAAAAAAUAAACAAACACUGUUCUGUUCAAUUAAUAUGUGCUCUGUUCUCAGGUGCAGACCAUUCAUGCACUCAGCAAAUGAGCAGCUUCUCCAAGUAGGCUGAAGUCACUGUUCUUGAGUUCAUGGCUGUUGGGAGAGAGAAGACUCAACAAAUAUCUAUAAGUAAAGCUAGACAGUCAUCACAAUAAGAGAGGACAAAGGGUGAAGAGAAGGAAGCAUCACAGAGGCUGCAGGGACCACAGAAAGCUACACAGAGGCACUGAAUUUGCCCUUGAUAGAUGAACUGCAUUUCACCUACUCAGUUCCAAGAGUUUAUCACAACCUUCCUUUCCCGCCAGCAUUUCAGAGUUGGCACCAAAGGAACAUUUUAGCUUGGAGUCCUCCUAGGACCCCCUGUAUCCAGCGCCCAGACCUAAAGAAACACAAGCCAGAGGUAG